AGUAAACAUUGCAGCAACACCACCCAGAUCCAGAUCAGAAAGAAGCUCCAGCAUCUCCUCAUGGCAAUCCUCGGCAAGAGUAAUAGCGUUGUGUGCCUCGUAGCGCUAGUGCUCAUAGCCACCGUUCUCUCCUCACGUGCCGACAAUGGAUGCGAUAUCGGUCCAUUUCCCAAGGAAAACUGUACUAAGCUAUGUCAUAAAGCAUGUGGUCAUGCCGGCGUUUGCCUCUUAGGAGAUGACGAGAAGUAUUACUGUUGUUGUGAACCAGUACGCCAAGAUGGAUCCAUGAGGCCUCAUAAGGUUGCUGAAAUGAUACAAACAUAGUGUCAUGGAUCACCAGAACCAUGUCGAAUAAAUGUGCUAGUUCUUGUUGAACUUGUAUCGAAUUUG